rnacentral:rRNA from 1 species
GACGAACGCUGGCGGCGUGCUUAACACAUGCAAGUCGAACGGAAAGGCCCCUUUGGGGGUACUCGAGUGGCGAACGGGUGAGUAACACGUGAGUAACCUGCCCUUGACUUCGGGAUAACUUCAGGAAACUGGGGCUAAUACCGGAUAGGAAUCCUUGCUGCAUGGUGGGGGUUGGAAAGCUUCGGCGGUUUUGGAUGGACUCGCGGCUUAUCAGCUUGUUGGUGGGGUAGUGGCUUACCAAGGCUUUGACGGGUAGCCGGCCUGAGAGGGCGACCGGCCACAUUGGGACUGAGAUACGGCCCAGACUCCUACGGGAGGCAGCAGUGGGGAAUAUUGCACAAUGGGCGGAAGCCUGAUGCAGCAACGCCGCGUGCGGGAUGACGGCCUUCGGGUUGUAAACCGCUUUCAGCAGGGGCGAAGCUUGUGGUGACGGUACUUGCAGAAGAAGCACCGGCUAACUACGU